UAUACACGAGAAGUGGAAGACGGUUGCAGCAUCUUUGAAUAGCACUGGAGGGCCUUACAAAGAUUGGAAAAAUUGGCGAAAAGUAAUGUUUUCAUUAAUAUGCAACUCAAUACCUUAUUAAAGCUAUAUAUAUUGUUGCAAUUUUAGACUUGGCAAGAUUUAUAUUCUCGCGUAAAGGCGAAAGCUGCCAGAAUCAACCGGUCAACAAACCAAACAGGUGGCGGUCCCCCCAGUGAUGAAAAAUUGACCACAUUCGAGCAGGAUAUUGUGGACACUUUUAUCAAGCCGGUAGUGGUAGAAGGAGAUUCAUUAAUUAAAGAAAGUGUCUGCAAUUUCCAUGCGAAUGAUACAACCACAUCCAUGAUCUCCAAUUCCAGUGGUGCAAUUGUUCAUCCCAUAAUAUUGAACCCUGUUGACGAAGUCGACAUCGAGGUUAUCAACAUUGACGAGGUAACCAAAAUCCCACCUACGCAACCCACGACAUCCAAGAAUCUAACCAGUUCAGCAGCUUCAGAAAUUGUUAAAAAAGGGAAGAAGCGAACGGCAGAAGAAUCGAGGGCGGAAUAUGCAGAAUAUUUGAAUAAAAAAUUAAAAAUAAAAAAAGACUAUUACGACGCAAAAAUUGAGCACUUACGGCAACAAACUGUUUUAAUGGAACAGCAACUCAUUAUUAAUACACAAUUGCUAGAAUUAAAAAAACUUAAAUAUAGCUCCAACUAAUGGUAAUAUGUAAAAUAUAACGACAAACGAUUUUUAUUGAUAAUUACAUAAUGAUAUAAAUUU